AAAAUAGCAUGAGGCUUGGUCUUUGGUAUUUGGGAUGUACGUAAAGAGGAUUAAUAAAUAUAACGUGAUCUUAUCGGGAGAUGCUUGAUGGUGCUUGCUCCUGUUCGUCGCGUAUGGAUGAUCAGACCAAGGUUCCCGUGUGUCAAAGGAUGAACUAUGUACAUAUGCGUUAGGGGGGAGAGGGCAUAUGACGGUAGAGGAGCACGAGGACAUUUGGGAUCAGUGGAGUUUUUAUAUGAAACCAGACUAUGAGAGAGUUAAACUUGUGUCGUUGUUAGAAUUAUUUUUAUGAGUUGGUGUAAUUUUGUUGUGACGUUUUUAUUUUUUGUGUUAAUUAGCUCGUAGAUUUUUAAUGUAUUUGGUCGUUUAUAAAAGUAAGGUUUAAGAAGCUUUUUUCGAUCGGCAUUAAAUAGUUUGCAUUCUAAAAGUAAUGGAAUUCAUCCCCAGUUUUGUUACAGGUUGUACAGGUCCUUAAAUCUAUAAGUGUUCUGUUCCAAUUUCCAACUUCAAUCGGUAGCCUGUUGUUUCUUUUCCUGAUUCUGAUUACAAAUUUAAGAAAUACAUGUGGUGUGUUUACUAAAUAUGAUUCAAAGCUAAGGUUUCUUUUAAUCAGUUUAUAGAAAGUACUAUCACUACAGUUUUCAAUUGAUGAUAACCAUUCAUUUAUAAACAGGUCUUUAAGUUUUUGCUUAACAAGUAUUUUAAGUCAGUCAAUGCUAGGAUAACUUUGUGAGCUCCACACAUGCAUAAUUCCACAUGUUAUUAAAGUUGAUUUGACAUUGAAAAACCAGGGAUAAAGGCGUGUAAGUGACUGAUCGUCAAGAUGUUUGCAUGUAUUGAACAUUGACAUAUAAAUUGUUGUGGAUAGAUCUUCUUGUUCUAUGGUAUUAUUAGCUAUCAGUUUUGCCCAGAAUGUUGCGGUCUUUUCUUGUAUGUCUAGUUUUAACGGGGUAAGUCCAGUUUCUCCAUAGACAAAGUAAUUUGCUGGAUUGAGUUUCAUUUUAAGGAUAUGCUUAAUACAUUUCAAUUGAUGUCAAUAAUGUCUAAGUUGCCAUAACCCCAUAUUUCUGCACCAUAAAGGAUAAUUGGUUUUAUUGUUUUGUUAAAGAGAUAUAUUUGUAGAUCUAUUGGGAGUUGUAGCCGAUUACAAUUUCGUAGUAGGCUGUACAUAGCCCUAGUGGCUUGGUUUUGCAUUUUGAGAAGGAGCCGCUCCCACUGAAUAUUAUGCCCAGAUGUUUGUAUUCACUGACGGUGUUGAUAGCUUGAUUAUGAAAAGUAAAAUGGUAUUCAUUGGGCCUGCCUUUAGAGAACACUAGUAUUUUUGAUUUUUCAAUGUUUACAGUUAACUUCCAAUCUGUGCAAUAUUUUUCGUAUGUGUCAAGAGCUUUUUGUAGGUCUUUUUCGGACUCUGACAUAAUAACUGUGUCAUCCGCAUAUAAAAGGAUGAAAAGUUUUAAAAAGUAUAAAAGCUGGCCGUUUUUAUCUAAUUUUGGCAUUUGUAUGCCUUGUACAGUGCUAUUUUGUUUGAAGUAGUUGUGU